GGGCUUAAUUCCAGCUACCAAAAUAUCUCUGUUUAUCUGAUUGAAAAAUCAAUCCUUUACGAUUAUCCAGCAAGUGUCUCACAGUCAGUCCCCGACGACGCUUUCAAGAGCUUCACUUUCAGUUCCUUCCUAGCGGAUAGGUUUCCAUAUUACCAGCCGUUAAUUAUUCAUCUGUGCUAUCUUGGCAUCGCAGUUGGAAAAUAAAGCAAAUCCUUUGGACCAGUGGCACAGAAUAGCACGCUGACCCCUCCGCUGAACCCUGGUGCAUUGUCCAUUGGUCUCCCACUGUUGGGGGAAGAGAUUGUCUUACCCUCCGGAUUUGCCCCAGAGAGCACAACAAACCAGCUUGUGCCGCUUGCUGUGGACUCGAACUCCGGUCUACCCAUGAGAGGAUAAAUGACAGAGAAACACGGACCAGUUCACCCACCAUCAAUGGAGAAAACUCCCAUCUUGGAUUCCAGAAAGUCAAACAGGGUGCUCGGUCCAGAUGGCCUCCCCCCUCCUCCCUCCUCCUCGUCUUCAUUUCUGGACCGGCCUCUUCCCCUUCCUCUGGCUGGAAGACAAACCCCAAAAUAAAAUAAUUCUGAGCGAAUUAGAACAGUUUGAUCAAUGAUACCGGAUGUCUGCAUGUGUGCACCCUCUGGCCCCGGGUGUCUGCAGCUAAACUAUGUGUAUCUAAUGUUUUAUCUUUCCACUUUCCACACAAUUCUGUGGUUACAACUUCCAUGGUGGCUCACGCUUUGUGGAGCACGUUGUGCUUCCACCUGGAAUUAAAUGUGCUAUAAAUAAUUUGCUUGCUUGCUUGUGUGUGUUAGUUUAAACCUGAAUCCAACUGAAUAAGACAUUGUACCUUUGCUUGAUUUGAGGAGUAAUAGAGGGACACAUACUGUGUCCAGGUCUUACGAGAUUACAUGAAUUUGAAAAGGUUAAUGUUCUGGACUGGACUCGAGAGGAUCUGAACGACAAUAAAAGCUUUAAAAACUGUCCAUCUUUGCAGUUAUUGCUAUUGGUAUUUCAGUGUGAAGGAAUACUUUUCAAGUUGCUGCAGGUUCACUGUCAGUGCUGAAACAAAUUUAUAACACUGCCUGCGGGUAACGCAGAAAAUUAAUCUGUAACCCCACAAUG